GUUACCCAAAAUACAGACUGAGUAUUAUUUCUGUAUCAUAAAAUAGAACUCAUUUAGCAGUUGAUAUGAAAUUUGUUAUGAGAUUGUUAGAGAUUUAGAAUGUGUACAGAAGGAGACAUAAUGAAGUUAGGGAAAAAAAUAAAUAAAACAUUUGUAAUUUAUGCAUCAAAUUAUAAAAAAACAAACGUGCAAAAACAGAGGUUAAGCCUUGAUGUCAUUGGCCACCUUCCCUGCUUUCAACAAAAAUUCUUAAAAUGCAGUUCUAUGGAUUCCUUUAUUAUUUCAUAAUUACCUAUAGCAAAAACUUAAGAGCAGUUAGACCUGAACAUUUGCAUUAAUUCAUUUAGGAGCAAUUUGCUUAAAUUUUUGUCUUACUAGUCAAAUGACUUGGUUUAGAAUUUAUACCUUAGACUGGCAAAUGCACUAUUAUUUACCAUCUUUUGUGGCACUGAAAUUUAAUGUCCUAAGUAAUAGUAUUUUAAUAACCACCAGAACUUCUUGACUGCUGAACCUUGUUCUGGUGAGCCCACAUCCAAACCAUCUGGCCUGCAAGCCAAUACGUAAUAUAAUACAGGGAAAUAAUAAUUUUUUUUAGUAGAAUAAGAGGGUUGUGGGUCAGAGUUUGAAUGGCUAGACCCCUAAGAUAUGAAUAUUUCUUUCCAGUGCUCUAUUAUUUGAAUGCUGCUCACUCAAAUAUCCUAAAUAUGAUCCCCCUGACAGGUCAAUGCAAUAUAUCUUAGGAAUUCACAGUUAUGCACCAUUUUGUAGGUACCUAUAAAAACUAUAGGUUAAUUUCGUAAUUCUAUAAAUACAUUCCAGCAAAACACCUUUAAUAUCUCAUGGCACAACUACUUAUUGAAAGGAGUGGCUGAGGGAAGACCAGAAAUAUAAUUUAGUAAGCUUUUAUUGUACUUUUAAUUAUAGCAUAUUUUGUAUUGGAUGGGACCUUUAACGGUCAUCUAGUCCAAUUCCCUGCAAUGAGCAGGGAUGUCUUUAACUAAACCUGGUUGCUCAGAGCACUGUCCAACCUGGCCUUGAAUAUGUCCAGGGAUGGGGCAUCCACCACCUCUCUGAGUAGCCUGUGGCAAUGUUUCAACACCCUCAUAAGUCUUUUUCCUUAUAUCUAGUGAGAAUCUGCCCUCUUUUAGCUUAAAAUCAUCACCCCUUUUCCUAUUGCCACAGUCAGUACUAAAAGGUCUGUGCCCAAUUCUCUUAUAAGCCCUGAAAUAAAGUCUCCCUGCAACCUUCUCAUCUCCAGAAUAAAAAAAAAAAACAAACAGCUCCCUCAGCCUUUCCUUGUAGGAUAAAUGUUGUACCUCUCUGAUAAUUUUGUAGAUCUCCUCCAGACUGUGCCAACAGAUCCAUGUCUUUCCUGUACUGAGAAUCUCAGAGCUGAACCCAGCACUCCAGGCACAGCGAAGGCAUUACUUAUUCUGACCUGUACACCUGUGUGCAGCCAGAGCCUGCUUUGAAUGGAAGCCCUGAGUGUACACACAGGUACACUGGAGUUCCAUUGCUGCUGCCACUGCUGCUCCCCUUCCCUCUCUGAUUUCAAAAAGAAGGGAGAACUCUAUUGUCCUUUGUCGAGGACCAAGAAUCAGAAUGGGAACAAUUUCAGAAGUGGAAAAAUAUGUACAGAGAUUGAAAGGACUUUAUGAUGCAGACUUUACAGUUAUUAUGUGUAUACACAUUGUAUGUUUCCCCAGAAUUUGUAUCUCCAGGCUUGUUCACUUCCCUGCUUCCCUGCUGGUUAGCUGGAGAAACUGCAGAGAGAAGACAGCCACCAUUCGCCUCUUCCUUCCCUGGUUCCUCCUACGCUCCUCCCCCUUUUGCCUGUGUCCCUAUCCUGGUUUGUUCUCCCGCUUGUCUGUCCCAUACUCCGCCCCAUGUUCUGGUCCUUUCCCCUACUGAGCUGAUAAAAAAUCACAUGCAUGCUUCAAUAAAGCAUUCUACCUGUACCCUA